rnacentral:rRNA from 1 species
CCAAUAGCGUAUAUUAAAGUUGUUGCAGUUAAAAAGCUCGUAGUUGAAUUUCGGGGUUAGUAGGUUGGUCAUGCCUCUGGUAUGUACUGGUCUCACUGAUUCCUCCUUCCUGAUGAGCCGUAAUGCCAUUAAUUUGGUGUUGCGGGGAAUUUGGACUGUUACUUUGAAAAAAUUAGAGUGUUUAAAGCAAGCUAACGCUUGAAUACAUUAGCAUGGAAUAAUGAAAUAGGACGUUCGAUCCUAUUUUGUUGGUUUCUAGGAUUGACGUAAUGAUUAAUAGGGAUAGUUGGGGGCAUUAGUAUUCAAUUGUCAGAGGUGAAAUUCUUGGAUUUAUUGAAGACUAACUACUGCGAAAGCAUUUGCCAGGGAUGUUUUCAUUAAUCAAGAACGAAAGUUAGGGGAUCGAAGACGAUCAGAUACCGUCGUAGUCUUAACCAUGAACUAUGCCGACUAGGGAUCGGAUGAUGUUAAUUUUUUAAUGACUCAUUCGGCGCCUUACG